GCAGCUCGAGUGGCAAGUGUCAGCGCCUCAGCUUUGAGGAGGCCCGCGCGCCGUGGAUAGAAGAGCCAACGUGAACUGUGAGAUAUUGUCACCUGAUCCGUUACUUACUUCCUGGACGGUCUGAAAAACAACUUUUGAUUCUUUUUCAGAACUGUAAUGAAUGUGUACUGUGCUUUAAGAAGAUGAACUCCAUUCUUUAUUUUGACAAAUGCCUCUCAAGUAUAAUAACGCCAUUUGUAUAACUUACAUUUAAGAGAUGUCACACAGUAAUGACAUGUAUGUAUUGAUCAAUAGAGACCUCCAUCAGGGCGGGCCGAUCCACUUUCUGCAGGUGAGAAAAGUGUGAUGCUCAGUAAGGAUAUAAAGCAAACUGAGAACUA